CCGCUUUAGCGCGCUGACGUCUCGUUGCGGACGUCUGUGAUUUGUUCGGAGCUUUAAUCGUCGUCGUCGACGACGUCGACGCGGAUGUAACGCGUUCAGGCGCCGACGACGACGCCGUCGCUGCUCCAGAAACCAGCUGGUACCUGGCUGUCGUGAUUUUUUCUGACGAUGGUCGACCCACCACCGGCGGCGGCGUUGUUAACGGAUGAGGAAGAAGACGAUGCCGAGAGGAGGUGAGCGCUGGUGACUGGUGUUGGACUAGCGGAAGCGGUAACCGCUGAUACAGCUGCUUCCGAUGCACCAUCAACCAUCGGUGACCGCGUAGAACUCGGUAGACUGCGUACGACAGGCUCAGGAACAACGACUGGAGGACGUUGCUGCUGCUUGUUGCUGCCCAGAUCGCCAGCGCAGCCGUAAUCGUAGCUGCAGCAUAGCUGCCCGUCCUACGGAGAGGUUCGUUGGACACUGGGUUAGCCAACGGCGAAACGAACGGGACCAAGCGACUGUGUCGUGUUCGCCUGACUUUCGCCCUCUUCCGUUCUUUUUUUUUUUUCAAUCAAUUAUUUCUAUUUUUCUUUUCAUUCUUUGCACAAAAAUUCAACGCGAAUACUCCCUUGCCCGCGCGAAAAGUCUUGGUGUACGCGUGCGUGCUGCCAUCUAUCGGGUGCGUGAUCUGCAUAGUUGUAGAGGAUAAUCAGAAGCGGGAAAUUUCAAAUUGUACAAAAUAUGAUUUAUCUCGGCGUGAUCUGUAAUGCGAUUGUUUUUAAUAUUUCGGCGAAUUUAAAGAGAAGAUAUGAUAGUUUUAUUUGAUUUAAAUUUAUCCGGAGAACCUAUUAGGGAAGUGCGUCUGAUUUCGACGUGAAUUUGUGUGCGUGCAUGAUCGUUUCUUUAACUUUUGAAAGGUUAGAACGAAUCGUACGUGUUCAAUGCUCGUUGUAUAUGAUAUGAAUCGAUAUUCGUUGAUUCAUUAUGAGAAAGCAUAUGAUAAUCGCGGAUAUUGUAAUCAUCCUGAUUAACGUUGGUCCAAGACUUUUCGCAUUGUUGAAGGGGAUACUCAGGUAAUCCUCCACAUAAUAUGUAAUUCAUUGUUUCGUCGAAAUCGCGUACGACGAUUGCACGGUGAAUCCGUUUGUGGUGGAAAAUUUGCGUCCUUUAUAUAUAUAUAUAUAAUAUAUAUGUUGAUCACCCAGAUUCGAUGGAUCUUUCUCGUGCACGAUUAAUAAAAAAAAUGUUGCUUUUACAAGCACAAAUUACAAGAACUCGACUCAUAACAGACUCAUGCUCUGACAUUCGGGAAA